rnacentral:sRNA from 1 species
CUGUGUCUCUCCAGGGCUGUUUCUUCAUCUGCAAAAUGGGGAGGGUGUGAUGGCUCACUGGGCAGGGAGGACCCCGUGAGUUUCGAACAGUCCGUGUGGCUCACACACAGUGUUGAGGAAAACCAGCCCAUCCUUAUUAUCAUUCCCAGUCCAAAUGCCCUUUCCUCCUCGACCUGCUCCCAGGCCACCCUCCCGGACAGCCGCUCUGGGGGAAGAUGAGCACGGGAGGAAAGUGAGAGCAGGACUCAGCACUGGGAAGAGGGAGCAGGAGGGGGACUUUGGCAGGCAGUGGGGAGAGCUUAUGGGCAGAGUCCAAGUGCCUUUCCUGCAGCCUCUGGCCACCUGGAGCUCGGAUGGUGGGGCUGUGCUGAGUCUGACUCCAGAAACCCUCAUCCCAGCUGUGCUCAGGGGGGUAGAUAACAAGUUCCACUUUCCCUCUCCAGUUCUCUUCUGGGAGGUGGGUACCCCAGGCUUCGGGGGAUGACGCCCAGGGGUGAGGGUUGCUCAGGGGCAGGCUGAGGAGGAUCACAAUUAGGAAAGAAUCCUAGCAGACCCCCAGGCAGAAGAGUCAGGAAGGAGUAGACCCUGGUGUUUUGAACUCAGCACUUGUCCGGGCAGUGUGGGAAAGGGGGGCCCGGCGCGGGGAGGCGCCCUGGGAAUGUUCCCAAGGGCUCCACCGGUGUCGCUGGGGUUCCCAGGCAUAGGUUUUGGUGGGAAAAGGGUCGGGGAAGGCAGUGACUAGGUCUCUGUGCCUUUGUUUUAGGCUGGAAGUUAAAUCCAGUGGUCGGCGCAGUCUACGGGCCUGAAUUCUAUGCAGUGACGGGGUUCCCCUACCCCACCACCGGCACAGCCGUUGCCUACCGGGGCGCACAUCUUCGGGGCCGGGGCCGGGCCGUGUAUAAUACAUUUCGGGCAGCGCCACCCCCACCCCCCAUCCCGACUUACGGAGCGGUCGUGUAUCAGGAUGGAUUUUAUGGUGCUGAGAUUUAUGGAGGCUACGCAGCCUACAGAUACGCUCAGCCCGCUGCAGCGGCGGCAGCCUACAGCGACAGUUACGGCAGAGUCUACGCAGCUGCCGACCCGUACCAUCACACCAUCGGGCCCGCGGCGACCUACAGCAUUGGAACCAUGUGAAACCUUCCACCGUUUCCUUCUCGGACCAUGAAGGGCAAAAACAAAAAAACAAAAAAAAUCACAAAAC